CUUUUAAUGGCCUUUGCUUCCAGCAAAAAUCUGCAAGGGUGAAAGCAAAGCUUCCGGCCUGAAUCCAUGCUUCCUCCACUGUCUGGUGGAACUUUGGGUGUUUAACAAGGUAGUUAAAAAUUUUGAAUGGCUUGGUUCCAACACGGGGUAUGAUGGAGGCUAGGUUUACAAGACUAGGGGAAUGGUCUGAGGGCAAGGGUGCAAGGAAUGUAGUGAUGCUAUCCGGGAAAUAGGUCAACCAGUGAUCAUUGACAAGAACACGAUCCAACUUCUUUGCUAUAGGGGAGGCUGGUUGAUUGUUACUCCAGGUGAAUAGAGGACCUUGAAACCUCAUAUCGAAAAGGUCCAGAUGAGUGAGGCAGUCCUUAAAUUCAGUCAUAGGAGGGGUGAGUGAGUUAAUAGUAGAGGAUGAGUGUUCAGCAAAGUGAGUGAUCUGAUUAAAAUCUCCACCCACUAGCCAUGGACAAGUGGAUAAGGAGAAAUACUGUUGGAUUUGUAUUAACUCCACCCAAAGUACUCUCACGUCAGUAGGAUCCUUCCAGAUGAUAACUAUGCAGCCAUCCUCAUCUGACAGGUGAUUCGAGGGGGCUCUCCCGAAGGAGUAGCGGUGUCCAGCAGCAUCUCAGUAAUGGGAGAAGCAGGAAGGUUAGGCAACAAAGCAGGUGUGGGACAGGUUUGGGAUGGGGAAAUCUGGAGGAGUGAGGGGUGGGACCGGGAACAUUUCAAGGAGGUUGAAUGGCGUUAUUCUGAUGGGGGAGAGUGGGGAUAUGGGAGCCCAUCAUGGGUGAUGGACGCAGGAAGGCCCAAAAUAUAAUGCUGGGAUGGGGUUUGAUUAGUUAUGAUUUGGGAAUGUGAAUCAGGACAAUGAGUAGAAGAUGACAAAG